UACGUAGGGUGCAAGCGUUAAUCGGAAUUACUGGGCGUAAAGCGUGCGCAGGCGGUUAUGCAAGGCAGAUGUGAAAUCCCCGGGCUUAACCUGGGAACCGCAUUUGUGACUGCAUAGCUGGAGUACGGCAGAGGGGGAUGGAAUUCCGCGUGUAGCAGUGAAAUGCGUAGAUAUGUGGAGGAAUACCGAUGGCGAAGGCAGCCCCCUGGGUCAAGACUGACGCUCAUGCACGAAAGCGUGGGGAGCAAACAGG
rnacentral:rRNA from 1 species